CGGCAACAGCUUAAAUUUGAAAUCUAGCUCCCUUAGGGGUCUGAGUUGUAAUUUGUAGAGGGUGCUUUAGCGUUGGACGCGGUCUAAGUUCCUUGGAACAGGACGUUACAGAGGGUAAGAAUCCCGUACGUGGUUGCCAACCUUCGCUAUGUAAAGCCCCUUCGAC
rnacentral:rRNA from 1 species